rnacentral:misc_RNA from 1 species
UUUUUUUUUUUCUUUCUUUCAAUUCACUGAAGUGGCAAUGUACACAUAACAACUCAGUUUGAAUAGAUUAUACAAGGACAGUUGAUCUGAGCCAGCAUAACCAUCGUGGAACAGAGAUGCACAGGCCCAGCAAAUCGAGGACUCUUCAUUAAGAAAAUUUCUAGCCUAGCCUCAGUUCAAUUCUCCAUAUUACUGUACAGCAGUCUCAGAUCCCAAAAAAGUAUUCCAAAAAGCUAAAUCGCAUGGAUUCAUUCUUUGUUUUCCUUCUACACCGUGAUCUAAAAGAAUGUACAGUUCUCACUGCUUGGAAUAUUACCCAUCCUGAAGGAACUACCAUACAUUGGACCACCAGAAGCCACACCUCCCUGGAAGAAAUAGAUUUUCCUUGUGUUGAUUCAUGCAGUUGCUUUGUAUAAGUUGAUGCCUCGUCAUAACACACAGCUAGUUUCUUAUUUGCUAGAAGUGAGUUCCUUUCAUUGGUGCAAAUGAACACCCAGCGCCAUAAUCAGCAUUAUCAAAUAGCUUAGCGUGAUCAUCAAUUAUGGAUCUGACUGCAUACGAUUAAAGGCUGAGCCACUAUGACCCAUCCACCUACAGCCAGAACAUUCUAUACUGACUUUUUCCUUGUGGCCUUUUAAACUUAUUCCACAGUUCUUUCCCCAAGCACUUAUUGCAAACAUUAGUUUCAUCAGCUGUUGAUUUGGUGAAUUCAUCAAUCUCCAACAACUUAGAAAGCUUGCUCUGAUUGGUGGGGCACUAAAUGCAAUAAAGUCAGAAGCCACUGGUCCGGUUUGGCAAAGGAGAAUGGGGACUUAGGUCCAGGCAUGGGUUCAUCUUCACAUGAUCCUUUAAAAGCUGCCGAGAGACACGAUCAGCCAAGACUGACUGUCCAUCAUAAAGUUCCCCAUGAGCAGGCCUUCCAAGUUGCUUUCCAAGUACAUCAUUUUCACAAGGAACCAGCUCGGAGAAAAUGUGAGACCCUGGCUGCAUUCCUCGAAAAAGGUCUGGAUUGGAAUCAUGAUAAGAAAGGCCAUUCAUGUAGAUACCAUUUGAGGGCUUUAGCAUGCUUCCAAAACCCUCCUGCAAAUAAACUGACUGUUUCAAAUGAUUAGAUGGAAUAGCACCACUGCCACCUGUCAGAGGAGUGGAUGCACCUGAAGGGGUCCGUGGGCUAGAUAUAGGUGAGGGAGACAUUCUCUGUGGCGACCUUGAAUGGGGAAGAGGGCUUCCAAUUGGUGAGACAGGACACGAUAUGUUCCUUUGGAUAUGAAUCUCGCUGGCAUGAGAACUCGUUUUCAGAACUCUAGAUGAAUGAACUGCGAGCCUCUCUGUAUCCAAAGGGGUAAAAUUUCUUGCUUGACUAAUGCCCAGAGCUUUAACUCCAUUUGUAACUGCUGGGGGUUGAUCUGUAGGCUCAGGGCCUAGAAUAGGUCUUUCCAAAGGAGCAGCAGAUUUCACAAAACGGUGUUCCAAAAGCUGGGCAGCUGUAGGACGAAGUUGUGGAUUGCGUUGCAAGCAUUGUCUCACAAAAUCCUUUCCAUCAUCAGAGAGGUGAUCUGGAAUUGCUGGCAGAUCCUUACUAUUUCCAAUCUUAAACAUGGCAGCGACCCCUUCAAACUGGCUCCAAGGUGGUUUUGUUGUAGCCAUUUCCAAAACAGUACAUCCAAGACUCCAUAUAUCCACAGCAAGGUUGCAACCAUUUGAGUUCUUUAUAACCUCAGGAGCCAUCCAGUAAGGGCUUCCCUUGAAUGAAAGUGGACAUGAUUGUCCAGUGAUAUGCUUUGCCAUCCCAAAGUCUGCCAAUUUUACACGACCAUUAGGAUCCACAAGUAUGUUUGCUCCUUUAAUAUCUCUAUGGACAGUGCUUUUAGAAUGUAGAUAUGCAAGUCCUGAUAAGAUUUGCUGAGUAAAACUACGAAUUGCUAGCUCUCCCAAUUGUCCAUACUCUUGGAGAAUUUUGUAUAUGGAUCCACCUGAUACAUACUCCAGGUAUAUAUAAAGUCUGUCACCAACCGUCUCAGACCCAUAGUAUUGCACAAUGUUUGGAUGCCGUAAGCGGCUUAAUAGAGCAAUUUCCUGAUUCAACUGCUUAGCACUUUCCUUUGACUUGGCAUCGUCUGAAAAUAAUGUCACUUCCUUCAUUGCACACAUUUCACCACUUUCACUGUUAAAAC